UACAGAGGUCUCAAGCGUUGUUCGGAUUCAUUGGGCGUAAAGGGUGCGUAGGCGGCGCGGUAAGUCGGGUGUGAAAUCCCGGGGCUUAACUCCGAAACUGCAUUCGAUACUGCCGUGCUUGAGGACUGGAGAGGAGACUGGAAUUUACGGUGUAGCGGUGAAAUGCGUAGAUAUCGUAAGGAAGACCAGUGGCGAAGGCGGGUCUCUGGACAGUUCCUGACGCUGAGGCACGAAGGCGUGGGGAGCAAACAGG
rnacentral:rRNA from 1 species